rnacentral:rRNA from 1 species
UACGAAGGGGGCUAGCGUUGUUCGGAAUCACUGGGCGUAAAGCGCACGUAGGCGGCGUGUCAGUCAGGGGUGAAAUCCCGAGGCUCAACCCUGGAACUGCCUUUGAUACUGUCGAUCUGGAGUAUGGAAGAGGUGAGUGGAAUUCCGAGUGUAGAGGUGAAAUUCGUAGAUAUUCGGAGGAACACCAGUGGCGAAGGCGGCUCACUGGUCCAUUACUGACGCUGAGGUGCGAAAGCGUGGGGAGCAAACAGG